rnacentral:rRNA from 1 species
AUUGAACGCUGGCGGCAUGCCUUACACAUGCAAGUCGAACGGUAACGCGGGGCAACCUGGCGACGAGUGGCGAACGGGUGAGUAAUGUAUCGGAACGUGCCCAGUUGUGGGGGAUAACUGCUCGAAAGAGCAGCUAAUACCGCAUACGACCUGAGGGUGAAAGCGGGGGAUCGCAAGACCUCGCGCAAUUGGAGCGGCCGAUAUCAGAUUAGGUAGUUGGUGGGGUAAAGGCUCACCAAGCCAACGAUCUGUAGCUGGUCUGAGAGGACGACCAGCCACACUGGGACUGAGACACGGCCCAGACUCCUACGGGAGGCAGCAGUGGGGAAUUUUGGACAAUGGACGCAAGUCUGAUCCAGCCAUGCCGCGUGCGGGAAGAAGGCCUUCGGGUUGUAAACCGCUUUUGUCAGGGAAGAAACGCUCUGGGUUAAUACCUCGGGGUAAUGACGGUACCUGAAGAAUAAGCACCGGCUAACUACGUGCCAGCCGCCGCAGUAACAC